CGUAUUCCAGCCUCCUCCCAUCCGGAAAAGGAGGUAUUGGAACUUACAUCGGAAUCUGUGCCAUUAGUGUUGCUUUUGGAGUUGCAGAUGCUCAUGUGCGAGGAGGAAUGAUUGGAGACCUCUCGUUCAUGAAACCAGAAUUCAUCCAAUCUUUCCUUGCUGGCUUGGCUGCAUCAGGGGCCCUAACCUCUGGACUGAGGCUACUUACAAAGGCAAUAUUUUAGAAUUCCCAGAAUGGUCUGCGCAAGGGAGCCAUUAUGUUCUUUUCCAUCUCUACAUUCUUUGAGCUGCUAUGUGUUUUUCUGUACGCUGUUGUCUUUCCGAAGCUACCAAUUGUGAAGUUCUACCGCUCCAAGGCAGCAUCAGAAGGAUCUAAAACUGUUUCGGCUGACCUUGCUGCUGGUGGCAUCCAGACAUUACCGGAAGGAGAUGCAGAGGAUCCGACUAAGAUGCAGCGGCUGGGGAACAAACAAUUGUUAGCUCAAAACGUUGAUUACGCAAUUGAUAUGUUUCUAAUCUAUGUGCUGACCUUGUCAAUUUUCCCCGGAUUCCUAUCAGAAGAUACGGGAUCUCACAGUUUGGGUACAUGGUAUGUCCUCAUUCCUCAA